rnacentral:rRNA from 1 species
UACAGAGGGGGCAAGCGUUGUUCGGAAUUACUGGGCGUAAAGGGCGCGUAGGCGGCCUUCUAAGUCGAACGUGAAAUCCCUGGGCUCAACCCAGGAACUGCGUCCGAUACUGGAAGGCUUGAAUCCGGGAGAGGGAUGCGGAAUUCCAGGUGUAGCGGUGAAAUGCGUAGAUAUCUGGAGGAACACCGGUGGCGAAGGCGGAUCUCUGGGCCUUACCUGACGCUCAGGCGCGAAAGCUAGGGGAGCGAACAGG